rnacentral:sRNA from 1 species
AGUGGGAGGACCCUGCCUCGGGAACGUAGGGAGAAAGGAAGGACGAGGCCGGACACCCCGGCGCGCACACACACCUGCUGUCCAGGUAAGCCUCAGCCGGUGCUGCAGGCAGUCUGACUCGCAAUCCCUCAAGUGACUUCCAAGGAACAUCUGCAGACAAGAAGAUGGCCCAGGUCCUGCACGUGCCUGCCCCCUUCCCAGGAACCCCUGGCCCAGCCUCCCCACCUGCCUUCCCUGCCAAGGACCCCGAUCCACCCUACUCCGUGGAGACCCCCUAUGGCUACCGCCUGGACCUGGACUUCCUCAAGUACGUGGACGACAUCGAGAAGGGCCACACGCUGCGACGUGUGGCGGUGCAGCGCCGCCCCCGCCUGAGCUCACUGCCCCGUGGCCCCGGCUCCUGGUGGACGUCCACUGAGUCGCUGUGCUCCAAUGCCAGUGGGGACAGCCGCCACUCAGCCUAUUCCUACUGCGGCCGUGGCUUCUACCCUCAGUACGGUGCUCUGGAGACCCGCGGUGGCUUCAAUCCGCGGGUGGAGCGCACGCUGCUGGACGCCCGUCGCCGUCUCGAGGACCAGGCGGCCACACCCGCCGGCCUGGGCUCCCUGACCCCCAGUGCGGCCGGCUCGACAGCCUCCCUGGUGGGCGUGGGGUUGCCACCCCCGACACCACGGAGUUCAGGACUGUCCACGCCGGUGCCUCCCAGUGCCGGGCACCUGGCCCACGUGCGGGAGCAGAUGGCGGGUGCCCUGCGGAAGCUGCGGCAACUGGAGGAGCAGGUGAAGCUGAUCCCUGUGCUCCAGGUGAAGCUCUCGGUGCUCCAGGAGGAAAAGCGGCAGCUCACAGUACAACUUAAGAGCCAGAAGUUCCUGGGCCACCCCACAGCGGGCCGGGGUCGCGGCGAGCUCUGCCUGGACCUCCCCGAUCCCCCAGAGGACCCAGUGGCACUGGAGACCCGGAGUGUGGGCACCUGGGUCCGAGAACGGGACUUGGGCAUGCCUGAUGGGGAGGCUGCCCUCACUGCCAAGGUCGCUGUGCUGGAGACCCAGCUCAAGAAGGCGCUGCAGGAGCUGCAGGCAGCUCAGGCCCGGCAGGCUGACCCCCAGCCCCAGGCCUGGCCACCGCCGGACAGCCCGGUCCGCGUGGAUACAGUCCGGGUGAUAGAAGGGCCGAGGGAGGUGGAGGUGGUGGCCAGCACAGCCGCUGGCGCCCCUGCACAGCGGGCCCAGAGCCUGGAGCCUUAUGGCGCAGGGCUGAGGGCCCUGGCAAUGCCUGGUGGGCCUGAGAGCCCACCUGUGUUCCGCAGCCAAGAGGUGGUGGAGACGAUGUGCCCAGUGCCCGCUGCGGCUACCAGCAACGUCCAUAUGGUGAAGAAGAUUAGCAUCACAGAGCGCAGCUGCGAUGGAAUGGCAGGUAAGCGGUCGCAGGCAGGAGAGAAUGGCUUGGCGGUGGCGGGGGUGGGGGGCGGCGGCGGGGUGGGGGGCGGCGGCGGGGGUGGGGGGGCCCUUUUCUUCCCAUGGCUCAUCCUGGACCCUCAGAAUGCCAGGAUCCAGGCAGGGGGCGGUGGCGCAUGCCUGUAAUCCCAGCACUUUGGGAGGCCAAGGCGGGCAGAUCACUUGAGGUCAGAAGUUGGAGACCAGCCUGGCCAACAUGGUGAAACCCAUCUCUACUAAAAAUACAAAAAUUAGCCAGGUGUGGUGGCGUGCGCCUGUAACCUCAGCUACUCAGGAGGCUGAGGCAGGAGAACCGCUUGAACUGGGGAAGCAGAGGUUGCAGUGAGCCGAGAUUACACCACUGCACUCCAGCCUGGGCAACAGAGGGAGACUCUGUCUCAAAAAAAAAAAAAAA